AUUGAACGCUGGCGGCAGGCCUAACACAUGCAAGUCGAGCGGAUGAAGGGAGCUUGCUCCUGGAUUCAGCGGCGGACGGGUGAGUAAUGCCUAGGAAUCUGCCUGGUAGUGGGGGAUAACGUCCGGAAACGGGCGCUAAUACCGCAUACGUCCCGAGGGCGGAAGUGGGGGAUCUUCGGACUUCACGCUAUCAGAUGAGCCUAGGUCGGAUUAGCUAGUUGGUGGGGUAAAGGCCUACCAAGGCGACGAUCCGUAACUGGUCUGAGAGGAUGAUCAGUCACACUGGAACUGAGACACGGUCCAGACUCCUACGGGAGGCAGCAGUGGGGAAUAUUGGACAAUGGGCGAAAGCCUGAUCCAGCCAUGCCGCGUGUGUGAAGAAGGUCUUCGGAUUGUAAAGCACUUUAAGUUGGGAGGAAGGGCAGUAAGUUAAUACCUUGCUGUUUUGACGUUACCAACAGAAUAAGCACCGGCUAACUUCGUG
rnacentral:rRNA from 1 species